rnacentral:lncRNA from 1 species
ACUGUGGGUUCAUAAACUCAGACGGCUUCACAACUAAACCAAAACACUCUUAUGUAACCUAUUGACUGACAACGUCUGGAACUUACUGUAUGUCUCUGUGUCUAGAUACUGCAGGUCACAUAUCUCUCUGUGGAAGCAACCUCAUAGCGUAAAGCCUCCUACAGGUAAUGGGGAAGGUAACAUGAUCCUCAAGCAUACAUCUUUAUUUGAGUGGAUACAUUUAUGACGUGGGCCUAUGCACAAAUGAGGGGCAAUAUACCGACAAGGAUCAGGACAAGCCAGUUGGUAGAUGGUUGUUUUAAGCUCAGACAAACAUCAGUCAUCACCUACCAUCACCGACAGAGUCAACCAUGAGUCAACACUUAGUUCCCAGUCACAAUAGCUAAGGUGGACCUCCGAAGAAAUGCUUAAACUGCAUUCAAUUGUCUGGUGAGUCCCAGCUCGUUCAGCCCCAAUGGCAAAUCUGUCAUGGUUUUAAAAACUAAUGACAUAAACAAUGAUCUUUUUUAAAUUUUCGGUUUAGCUGUGUGUUUUACUUUGGAAAUGUGGUUAGUGCCUUUUAAUGGAAAGUGUGUGUGUGUUUCGGAAUUAUGCAUAGGAU